rnacentral:rRNA from 1 species
CAUGUAGGCGGGUCUUUAAGUCAGGGGUGAAAUGCCAAGGCUCAACCUUGGAACCGCCUUUGAUACUGGAGAUCUUGAGUCCGGGAGAGGUGAGUGGAACUGCGAGUGUAGAGGUGAAAUUCGUAGAUAUUCGCAAGAACACCAGUGGCGAAGGCGGCUCACUGGCCCGGAACUGACGCUGAGAUGCGAAAGCGUGGGGAGCAAACAGGAUUAGAUACCCUGGUAGUCCACGCCAUAAACGAUGGAUGCUAGCCGUUGGGGAGCUUGCUCUUCAGUGGCGCAGCUAACGCUUUAAGCAUCCCGCCUGGGGAGUACGGUCGCAAGAUUAAA